GACGAACGCUGGCGGCGUGCCUAAUACAUGCAAGUAGGACGCAGUUGCGAACGGGUGAGUAACGCGUAGGUAACUGCCUCAGAGAGGGGGAUAACUAUUGGAAACAAUAGCUAAUACAGCAUACUAGUAGAUGGACCUGGGUUGUAUUAGCUAGUAGGUGGGGUAAAGGCCUACCUAGGCGACGGUACAUAGCCGGCCCGUGGAGGUGGUCCGGCAAACUGGGAAUGGAGACCGGCCCCGGAUCCUACGGGAGGCCGCCGUAGGGAAUCUUCGGCAAUGGGGGGAACUCUGACCGCGCAACGCCGCGGGAGUGAAGAAGGUUUUCGGAACGUAAAGCUCUGUUGUUAAGGAAGCGGUACUUAACCAGAAAGGGACGGCUAACUACGUGCCAGCAGCCGCGGUAAUAC
rnacentral:rRNA from 1 species